rnacentral:rRNA from 1 species
UUCAAGACCAGGACGUUGAUAGGUCAGGUGUGGAAGCGCAGUAAUGCGUUAAGCUAACUGAUACUAAUUGCUCGUGCGGCUUGACCCUAUAACUUUG